ensembl:snRNA U6 U6 spliceosomal RNA
GCACUCCCUUUGGCAGCACAUAAUCUAAAACUGGAACAAUACAGAGAAGAUUAGUAUGACCCCUAAGUAAGGAUGACAGGCAAAUUCAUGAAAAGUUCCAUAUUAAA